AUAUAGAUCAGCUAAAAUAAAAGCUAUUAGGCUCAUACCCUAAAAAUAUAAAACUACUUAUUCUAUAUA
rnacentral:tRNA from 1 species